rnacentral:rRNA from 1 species
CACGUAGGAGGCAAGCGUUAUUCGGAUUUACUGGGCGUAAAGCGCGUGCAGGCGGUUCGGAAAGUUGGAUGUGAAAGCUCCUGGCUUAACUGGGAGAGGUCGUUCAAUACUUCCGGACUUGAGAGUGGGAGAGGGAGGUGGAAUUCCGGGUGUAGUGGUGAAAUGCGUAGAUAUCCGGAGGAACACCAGUGGCGAAAGCGGCCUCCUGGCCCAUUUCUGACGCUCAGACGCGAAAGCUAGGGUAGCAAACGGGAUUAGAGACCCCGGUAGUCCUAGCUGUAAACGAUGUGAACUUGGCGUUGGUGGGUUCAAAUCCAUCAGUGCCGAAGCUAACGCGAUAAGUUCACCGCCUGGGGACUACGGCCGCAAGGUUAAA